rnacentral:rRNA from 1 species
UGCGUAGGCGGGUCUUUAAGUCAGGGGUGAAAUCCUGGAGCUCAACUCCAGAACUGCCUUUGAUACUGAAGAUCUUGAGUUCGGGAGAGGUGAGUGGAACUGCGAGUGUAGAGGUGAAAUUCGUAGAUAUUCGCAAGAACACCAGUGGCGAAGGCGGCUCACUGGCCCGAUACUGACGCUGAGGCACGAAAGCGUGGGAGCAAACA